GUAGGGAAUCUUGCGCAAUGGGCGAAAGACUGACGCAGCCAUGCCGCGUGAAUGAUGAAGGUCUUAGGAUUGUAAAAUUCUUUCACCGGGGACGAUAAUGACGGUACCCGGAGAAGAAGCUCCGGCUAACUUCGUGCCAGCAGCCGCGGUAAUACGAAGGGGGCUAGCGUUGCUCGGAAUUACUGGGCGUAAAGGGCGCGUAGGCGGACAGCUUAGUCAGAGGUGAAAGCCCAGGGCUCAACCUUGGAAUUGCCUUUGAUACUGGCUGUCUUGAGUUUGGGAGAGGUGAGUGGAACUCAGAGUGUAGAGGUGAAAUUCGUAGAUAUUCGGAAGAACACCAGUGGCGAAGGCGACUCACUGGCCCGUUACUGACGCUGAGGCGCGAAAGCGUGGGGAGCAAACAGGAUUAGAUACCCCAGUAGUCC
rnacentral:rRNA from 1 species